rnacentral:rRNA from 1 species
UUGAACGCUGGCGGUAUGCUUAACACAUGCAAGUCGAACGGAAACGAUACUAGCUUGCUAGUAGGCGUCGAGUGGCGGACGGGUGAGUAACGCGUAGGAAUCUGCCUGAUAGUGGGGGAUAGCCCGAAGAAAUUCGGAUUAAUACCGCAUAAUCUAUUCGUAGUAAAGUGGGGGACUUUCGAGCCUCACGCUAUCAGAUGAGCCUGCGUAAGAUUAGCUUGUUGGUGGGGUAAAAGCCCACCAAGGCGACGAUCUUUAGCUGGUCUGAGAGGAUGAUCAGCCACAUCGGGACUGAGACACGGCCCGAACUCCUACGGGAGGCAGCAGUGGGGAAUAUUGGACAAUGGGGGCAACCCUGAUCCAGCAAUACCGCGUGUGUGAAGAAGGCCUGAGGGUUGUAAAGCACUUUCAAUUGUGAAGAAAAGUUAGCGGUUAAUAACCGUUAGCCUUGACGUUAACUUUAGAAGAAGCACCGGCUAACUCCGUGCCAGCAGCCGCGGUAAUACGGAGGGUGCAAGCGUUAAUCGGAAUUACUGGGCGUAAAGCGUGCGUAGGCGGUUUAUUAAGUCAGAUGUGAAAGCCCCGGGCUUAACCUGGGAACUGCAUUUGAAACUGGUCAACUAGAGUAUGGUAGAGGAAAGUGGAAUUUCUGGUGUAGCGGUGAAAUGCGUAGAUAUCAGAAGGAACAUCAAUGGCGAAGGCAGCUUUCUGGACCAAUACUGACGCUGAGGUACGAAAGCGUGGGUAGCAAACAGGAUUAGAUACCCUGGUAGUCCACGCCGUAAACGAUGAUAACUAGCCGUUGGGGGGAUUUACCCUUUAGUGGCGAAGCUAACGCGUUAAGUUAUCCGCCUGGGGAGUACGGCCGCAAGGUUAAAACUCAAAGGAAUUGACGGGGACCCGCACAAGCGGUGGAGCAUGUGGUUUAAUUCGAUGCAACGCGAAGAACCUUACCUGGUCUUGACAUCCUGCGAACUUUCUAGAAAUAGAUUGGUGCCUUCGGGAACGCAGUGACAGGUGCUGCAUGGCUGUCGUCAGCUCGUGUCGUGAGAUGUUGGGUUAAGUCCCGUAACGAGCGCAACCCCUAUCCUUAUUUGCCAGCACAUUAUGGUGGGAACUAUAAGGAGACUGCCGGUGAUAAACCGGAGGAAGGCGGGGACGACGUCAAGUCAUCAUGGCCCUUACGACCAGGGCUACACACGUGCUACAAUGGGAAGGACAAAGAGCCGCGAAGCCGCGAGGUGUAGCUAAUCUCAUAAACCUUUUCGUAGUCCGGAUUGGAGUCUGCAACUCGACUCCAUGAAGUCGGAAUCGCUAGUAAUCGUAGAUCAGAAUGCUACGGUGAAUACGUUCCCGGGUCUUGUACACACCGCCC